CCGUGCUAAGCGGGGAGCUAGCGGUGCCCUGUACCCACAACCCGCUCCAGUGGGGCUGAAUUCCCGGCCGAGGCUGUUAGUCUUCUGGCCAGGUUCGCUUUUCGGAGCGAUGAAGGUUUGGGCCCUGCGCAAAGGGCCGGCCGCCAAUCCCGCCAGGACCGGAAGGUAGCAACGGUAACGGUCAGGUUCUUGUGUGGCAGUCAGCCUGGCCUGAGCUUUCGAAAGCAAAGCCCGCAGGGGACGAGCAGUCGAAGCAGGGUGCACGG
rnacentral:SRP_RNA from 1 species